rnacentral:misc_RNA from 1 species
AGGAACCGUGUGCAGGAAAACUGCUCGCACGGAUCUGUGGGGGAGCGGGGAGGCAACGAACCGCUCUACCCGGAA